rnacentral:rRNA from 1 species
AUUGGACGCUGGCGGCAUGCCUUACACAUGCAAGUCGAACGGCAGCACGGGCGCUUGCACCUGGUGGCGAGUGGCGAACGGGUGAGUAAUACAUCGGAACGUACCUUAUCGUGGGGGAUAACGCAGCGAAAGCUGUGCUAAUACCGCAUACGCCCUGAGGGGGAAAGCGGGGGAUCGCAAGACCUCGCGCGAUUAGAGCGGCCGAUGCCUGAUUAGCUUGUUGGUGGGGUAAAAGCCCACCAAGGCGACGAUCAGUAGCUGGUCUGAGAGGACGAUCAGCCACACUGGGACUGAGACACGGCCCAGACUCCUACGGGAGGCAGCAGUGGGGAAUUUUGGACAAUGGGGGCAACCCUGAUCCAGCAAUGCCGCGUGAGUGAAGAAGGCCUUCGGGUUGUAAAGCUCUUUUGUCAGGGAAGAAACACCGGCUCUAACACAGUCCGGGAAUGACGGUACCUGAAGAAUAAGCACCGGCUAACUACGUGCCAGCCGCCGCAGUAA